CCUUCACACCUGCAACCAAUUCCUAAUGGCAUCUAUUAGAUCAGCCAGCCAAACAUCAUUUCCCACAUCAGAAAGAUGUACGCCAUCUUUGCGGUAGAGGGACACCUCGCCGAACUUGAUGGUGGGGUGCUCGAUCACGCUGUCAGUGCUACCACUCUAUGAGCCACCAAUCCAAGAGUUUCCUGGCUUUGUUUAUCGCAAUAGGGCAAUGCCACACAUGCCUCUCCAGCAGUGAUGACCAAAAUAGGGUCAGGUUUGGGAAAGAGGCAAUCAGUUCAUCAAAGUCCUUGUAAAUGUUCCACGCCCUUUCGAUAGGCCAAGUCAUUUUCUCCCAGCUGUAUAAACAAGACAUCAGGGGAACCAUGCAUGGCAACACUAGCUUUCACUGCUGGCAGGAAUUCAGCCCAAUGCAUUCCCCUCCAUGUGAUCCAGGAAACUCUAACAUUCACUGGUCAUCCCAGCCUGCACCCCAGAUCUUGAUCAAAGACACGAGCUCAAGCCCAGUGGACAAUUCUGUGGCCAGUUAUCCAAACGUGAACCCCUACAUCACCUGAAAUUAAAAUGGAAUGACAAGGAUGAAAAGGUAAAGUCAGUUAUGAUUCAUUGGGCUAAAGAUUUUGGGUAUAAUAUACAGCUGAGUGAUUGGGAAAAAUUAUGGAAAGAAGGUUUAAAGUUUACUGCAUGCAAUGCCUUAAAAGAAAAUGUGAUGAAAAUGAUGUAUAGAUGGUAUAUUACACCCAUUAAAUUAGCUAAAAUGUAUAAAGUUACUAAUAAAUGUUGGAAAUGUAAAGAAAAAGAAGGAACAUUUUAUCACAUGUGGUGGGAAUGUAAAAAAGUGAAAAGCUUCUGGGAAAUGAUAUAGAACGAGAUGAAAAAAAUGUUGAAAUAUACAUUUAUAAAGAAACCAGAAGCAUUUUUACUGGGCAUUGUAGGAAGUGAUAUAAAUAGAAAAGAAUGUAAGCUGUUUUUAUAUGCAACGACGGCAGCAAGAAUAUUAUUGGCACAAAAAUGGAAGCAAGAAGAAUUACCGACGAAAGAAGAAUGGAGGAUGAAGUUAAUGGACUAUGCAGAACUAGAUAAACUAACAGGAAGGAUUCGAAAUCUGCGGGACCAGAAAUUCACAGAAGACUGGUGUAAAUUUACAGACUAUUUGAAAAGCAAUUGUGAUGAUCAGACUACGUUUGUAGGUUUGCAAGAAGUUUUGUGGGGUGAAUUAUUGGAACUAUUGCAAAAAUGGAUAAAGGGGAGGAUGGUUAGUUAAGAUAAUUAAAGGCAAUAGAAAUUUAAGAAAUGCAUAAGAAGUGAUGAAAACGGUGGAUCAUCAGAGGUGCUGAUGUCAAAAAAAAGAUUGUAUAAGUGGUGAAGUUUUGUGGUAUGUAUUAUAAUUUAUAUGUUAAAAUUAAUAAAAAUUAUUAUAAAAAAAAUAAAAUGGAAUGACAAGCCAGGUCAGCGAGAUCAUCAUCACUCAGAAGGUCAUACAAAUAUAACUAUUGUAGACGUCAGACUUCUGCCGACCAUAUCUUUUCCCCUGUUCUGCUGAUAGCCUCAAACGCACAGCAGUAGGGGUGGUGCCUAUUCUAAAAGAAUGAGCUGCAAAUUCUGCUGGGAGAAAACUACAGGUAUGUGAAUAGAUACCGUGAGAGGCGAGAGCCAUCCAAAUAUAUCAGAAAUGGGCCUGAAACAGGUGGCCUAGAAACAGAAAUCACCUGACAUCCUUAAACGGACAUGGGCCUUUAAGGCCAGUCGCCUUGAGCUAGAUAUGGGGUGAGAUUCCUGCUGUGUCCUUCUUAAAGCAAGCAGGCCACACCCCCAGAGCAAUUGGCUUGGUUGCCUGGGCAGUGAUACAGCCGGGAAUCCCCCCCAAUCACACAGGACUGACCACACCCCUGCGCAUGUGAAGGGGUCGUCAGUGCCUCCUACUAAGGCGAAAGUGGCUUUCUUGAAAUGGUCAUAUCUUUGGCUGUCCUCAGCAUAAUUACUGAUAUUGGACCAUCAGGAGCAUCCAUUAGGUAUAUGCUUGGGCAGGCAUAUGCAAACUCGGCCCUCCAGAUGUUUUGGGACUACAGCUCCCAUCAUCCCUGACCACUGGUCCUGUUAGCUAGGGAGGGCCGAGUUUACCUAUGCCUGUGCUAGGAAACAGGCUGGCUCGUGUGAAAGUGAGAUUUAUUUGUUCUUAUUUAGUGGCACACACAUCCCAUUUUCGCACAAUAUUUGGUUUUGGGGGGAACAGAUUUUGGUACAGAAUACAGAAAGCCUUGGUAUAUGAAUUAUCACUUUGUUUUAUAACCAUGAAGGCACAGAAUACAAUGCCCCAUGUCAAUGUUUCCCAUUUAGUCAGCUUUAAGAAUUGGAUCGAAUAUAUAACAAGACUUCUGACACCUCUCAAAUGUUGGCGUGUUGCAUUUCUGUAGACCUGCAAGCAUACCUAUUUUAUCUAUUAGCCCUUCCUCUCCGGGAUUUUGGAAGAGCCUCAAUAAAGCCAUUAAAAUGGCAGAUUUGACAUUGGCUCUGAGGAAAACCAACCAGCUUGUUCUGCUAUUGCUCUUCAAAGAUUUAUUGAAACAAAUUAAAGCCAAUCCUACCGAUAGCAGAGUCGACUUCAGUUUACUUACCAAGGUUGUUAUGUUUAAUUCUUCUCCUGCCCAGGACAGCAUUUAAGCUGUAAAAAUACAAUAUAUCAUCUCAGAGGCAGUCAUGUUUUCUGGAAAUCUCUCAAAAGAAGGAUGCUGUCUCAAGCAAGAGAGAGAGAGAUUAAUUUCUCAGUAUUUACCUUUUAGGAGUUUAACUGUGAACCCAUUCCAUUUUUGCACAGGGAUUUUUGAUAGGCAGCCUCAGUGCCCUACACAUUUACUGAAUACAACCUCUUAGGAUACCAUAUAAACAGUUCUUGUUUGUAUCAUUUGGUGGGGAAGGCAAAAAGAGAUUUUAAAAAACAAACAAACAAAUAAUAAAAUUUGGUAUUGAUUUUGCUAAUUAAUAAUUAGGUACAUUUUAUGAAACUUUUUUUUAUAUAACAGGAUCCUAAGGACAAUAGUGUGGGAGUGGACUUAAUAUGGUUCAUUUGUUUUUUUACUCGAUCUUUCAUCACUUGAUGAUUCUCAGCACAUGAACCAUCUAUACUGAAAAAUAAUGUUUUUGUAUUCAUACUGAGUGGAGCAAAAGUUGUAUCUGUCCAUGCAUUCAAUUUAUUUUAUUUUAUUUAUAUUUAAAUUGCCAAAGUAGCAUACUAAGACAAAACACUGUUCUGAUAAGGAAUGUUAUGUAAAAACACACUGAUUCCUGGACUGUCCACGGGCCAGAUUUAGAAGGCGAUUGGGCCAGAUUCAGCCCGUGGGCCUUAGUUUGCCUACCCAUGCUUUAGAUAUUUGAAGAUGGCUAUCGUAUCUCCUCUUUUUCAGGUUAAACACACCCAACUCCCUCACCACAGCACUAAAAAAUCUCUAUGAAGUAAUGAAAAUAAAACAAUUUUGCAAAAUGGUUUCUCUCAAGCCAUACAUUUAUAAACUCAUGAAACUCACCAGCAGCUAUCCUUUGAUUCCCCCACACCCAGCUGUAAUUCACUUUGCUUAAUUUAUUCAUUUAGCCCCUUGUAUCAAAAAUAGUUCCUUGAACUAAAGCUGGUGUGUCACUCUCCGUGCUGGAGCAAUGCAGACCCCAACAGUCUCUGACAGAGGGUUGUGCCUGUUUGGCACAAUGGGUCCUGCUGGAACAAGCCAGAGCAUACAGCUAGAUAAAUAACUCCAUGGAGGCAGGCUGCAUCCAGCCUUGAACAAUCCUCAAAGGAAGUCAAUGGUGUAAUGACCUGAGAUAUUUGGGAGGAGUCGUAUACAUAAUGAAUCACUUGUGAGUUAGCCAGGAACACUCUGGGAGAUAAAAGCAAGCUGUAAAAAUAUCUGAAUUAGCCAGGCUUUCCUGAGUGCUUAGGAUAGCGCAGUCCAUCUCUCUCUCAGAGGCUGAAAAUCUGGUUCAAAAUGCUGCAAUGGUUAGAGGCUUGCACUCACCUGCCACUUAGAGUCUCCUCUGCCAAAUUCAUGGGCAUCUUCCUUUUCCACCUACAACUUUGAUAAAGUAAGCAGAUUCAAGUGAGCGCUAUCUGAAUACUCUGUUCUUUAAAAACCAUGGGGAACUGUUCCAUCUAUGGCCAGUUCUAGAGUCUAAACACAGAAUUGUGUUCAUACCAUCACACCCAUUCAUACCGUCCAGUAAAAUAAAUUCUUUGCUAAUUCUGCUAUUAGCUAUUUUGAAAACUGAAAUUGAGGGAGCUUGUAUGUUUCUUAAAGGAGGUACCAGUAUACUGUUUAAUUUGGAAUUUUCCAUGAUUCUACAACUGGGGAGCCACCAUGUAGAAAACCUGUGUAUGCAUCACUGUCAAGCAGGCCAAGCCUACUGGCAAGUAAUAUCUGCAAGCAAUGGCAAUCAUAUGUUUUUUCUUUCUACACUACCAGCAGAGGGUCCAGUGAAAGUGUGGCAGAAACAUGGUAGCAAGUAGACAAAAUGUGUGAUCCAUGUGGUUUCUGCUUCCCUAGGCUCUCAGUGCAACAUGGAGCUACAACCACAAGGGAGAGUGUGCUUUAGUGCAAUCAUGCCACAGUGGUAACAUAUAAAUCAGGUUGGAUAAAGAGUUGUCAGAUAAAAGUACCUGUCUACCUCAAUGUGCCCAAGAUUGCAUCCCUUUUUGUGUGUGUGUGUGUGUGUGUGUGUGUGUAAAUCAUUACCGGUAUAUUUUAAUUCACAGAAGAUCAAGUUGUCUAUUGCAUUUAGUUUUGUCUGAUAAUCUUGACGUACGUCAGUAUAUUUCUGAUUCUGUGAGCUCAGAAAGGAAAAUGAUUCUCCUGUGAAAGACAAGGAGCAAGUAUCAUGAUGGCAUUGCCUUAAUUAAUAGCCAAUAUCCAGUCCUUUGUAAUUGGAUAUGGACUUCUUCCCAAGUCUUUAGGGGACAUGUUAAUUUGAGCUCUUUCUGUAGCACAGUUUUAUGUUGCAGUCCCUGUCCUGUUUGUUCUUCCUGAAGUCCCUCCCCUCCCCCGCUCUUUAUCUCUCCUCCAUCAAAUUCAUGAAUCAUGCUGGUUUUAUCCGUGGCCUUUCUUUGGGAUGGUUACAUUUUUCAUUAACAGUCAUGAAAUACCCCCUAAAUUGAUAGCAUUUAUAAUUCAGAAAAGAUUUGCAUGUCAUUCCUGCACUCUUAGCACAUACAAAAACUGAAGUUUAUGAGCUUUUAGCUUUGUUUGAAAUGCAAACAGAAGUUCUGCAUUCUCAACGGAAUCUCUGAGGCCGGCGAUAAAGGUGGGGUGGGGUGGGAAGAGGGGUGUGUAAGUGAUUUGUGCACUUCCAGCAUUUCCAAGUAGUGAGGUUCACGAGCACUUUCUGCAUCUGGAACUCUUGCAUGUAGCUAUGGGGGACAUUAAAGAACCUUUUAAAAAAAUUAUUAAUUUUUACAAUAUUAACGACAAACAAAAACAUAAAACAAACAAGACAUAACAAACAUAAAUCAUAACCUUAUUGAAAAUAACAGUUAUUUACUUUGUAAAACGACUUCCUCGUUUCCCCUUAGUUGAAUUUCAUUGCAUAUCCUUAUAACGGUUUUCCAAAUCCCAAUUUUAAUACCCUUUAAAUUAAACAUUAACAUCUUUAAAUCUUCUCCUUCUUGUAUUAGACAUAUUAUUUUAUCAAUUAACAUAAAUACAAUCCUAAGUCCAUUAAGUAUCUGGACGCUAUUUCCAGUUAUUUUAACUUAACAAAUUUAACUAAAUAAUCAUUAAAUUUCUUCCAUUCUUCGUGGUGUUCCUCCUCCUUCUGGUCACGGACUCUUCUGGUUAGAUUGGCUAGCUCCAUAAAAUCCAUCAUCUUCAUCUGCCAUUCUUCUACUGUUGGUAAUUCUUGAGUUUUCCACUUUUUAGCUAACAAAAUACGAGCCGCAAUUGUGGCAUACAAAAAUAGAUUAACAUCUUUCUUGGGCAAUUCCGAACCUGUUAUUCCAAGAAGAAAGGCCUCUGGUUUCUUUAUAAAUGUAUAUUUCAACAUUUUUUUCAAUUCAUUAUAAAUCUUUUCCCAGAAGUCUUUCACCUUGGGGCAGGUCCACCACAUAUGAAAGAAUGUUCCUUCCUUUUCUUUACGUUUCCAACAUGUAUUAUCACAAUUAUGAUACAUCUUUGCUAAUAUUACAGGAGUCAAAUACCAUCUAUACAUCAUUUUCAUAAUAUUUUCCUUUAACAAAGUACAUGCGGUGAACUUCACCCCUUUCUUCCACAAUCUUUCCCAGUCCUCAAACAUUAUGUUAUGUCCUAAAUCUCUUGCCCAAUCUAUCAUCACCGAUGAGGGUGAAAGAGGAGAGCGCAAAAUAUGGUCUGAAGCUCAACAUCAAAAAAACUAAGAUCAUGGCCACUGGGCCCAUCACCUCCUGGCAAAUAGCAGGGGAAGAAAUGGAGGCAGUGAGAGAUUUUACUUUCUUGGGCUCCAUGAUCACUGCAGAUGGUGACAGCAGCCACGAAAUUAAAAGACACCUGCUUCUUGGGAGAAAAGCAAUGACAAACCUAGACAGCAUCUUAAAAAGCAGAGACAUCACCUUGCUGACAAAGGUCCAUAUAGUCAAAGCUAUGGUUUUCCCAGUAGUGAUGUAUGGAAGUGAGAGCUGGACCAUAAAGAAGGCUGAUCGUCGAAGAAUUGAUGCUUUUGAAUUAUGGUGCUGGAGGAGACUCUUGAGAGUCCCAUGGACUGCAAGAAGAUCAGACGUAUCCAUUCUGAAGGAAAUCAGCCCUGAGUGCUCACUGGAAGGACAGAUCGUGUAGCUGAGGCUCCAAUACUUUGGCCACCUCAUGAGAAGAGAAGACUCCCUGGAAAAGACCCUGAUGUUGGGAAAGAUGGAGGGCACAAGGAGAAGGGGACGACAGAGGACGAGAUGGUUGGACAGUGUUCUUGAAGCUACCAGCGUGAGUUUGACCAAACUGCGGGUUUGGUGGAAGACAGGAGUGCCUGGCGUGCUCUGGUCCAUGGGGUCACGAAGAGUCAGACACGACUAAACGACUAAACAACAAAUGGGGGACAUGCAUGAAAGAGUGUUUAAGCUCUCCACCUUGCUUACCAGACUCUGAGACAGAGUCGUGCAAAAACUCUGGAGGCAGUGAUGGUUCUGGGGAGUCAUUCUGUGUUUGUGCUAUUUUGCCUUUACACACAACCCCCAAAAAGAUAUCCCUCUCAUAAGUUGCAGUCGCACCAUGUUCCUGAGGCAUCUGUUUGGCACUGGACUUUGCAUAGUCCUCCGUUCUGAUCUAUUCCCCAAAAUGCAGCCCUAGUGUAUUGAGGAAGCUAAUCGUCUGGAGUGGGGCAGAGGGGAAGCCAAGCAAUUACAGUAGUACCUUGGGUUAAGAACUUAAUUCGUUCUGGAGGUCCGUGCUGAACCUGAAACUGUUCUUAACCUGAAGCACCACUUUAGCUAAUGGGGCCUCCUGCUGCCACCACGCCACCACCAGAACACAAUUUCUCUUCUCAUCCUGAAGCAAAGUUCUUAACCCGAGGUUUAGCGGAGUCUGUAACCUGAAGCGUAUGUAACCUGAAGCGUAUGUAACCUGAGGUACCACUUUACUGUGGGUGAAUCAUAAAAACAUCAACAAAAGACAAGAUCAUGAAAGAUGGCUACGACAGAAAGAAUCUCAAUUCAUUUUUAUGUUUAAGACCAUUCACCCUAAAGGACUUAAUUCUGAACUGGAUUGAAAUUGUUUUAUUUGAUGUUUUUCUAUUGUUAUAUUUCUCUGUACUUUUAAAUUGAAUUAGUGCAAUUCAGUCUCCCUGUAAUGAGCGCCACCUGGGAAUGCUUUAGGUAUCAUGCAACUGGUAGCAGUGGUUACAUAUCCUUAUGACCACUGCUCCAUGUGCAUUUUUCUAAUCUAUGGGGUAUGUACCUAUGUAUGUAGCUAAUGGGGCCUCCCACUGCCACCGCACCGCCGCCGCACAAUUUCUGUUCUCAUCCUGAAGCAAAGUUCUUAACCCGAGGUACUAUUUCUGGUUUAGGGGAGUCUGUAACCUGAAGCGUCUGUAACCCGAGGCACCACUGUAUGCAUAUUUUCUCAUGAUCGUUGUCCAAUGUGUCGUCAUAAAUAAUUUUUGUACCUGUGGUUUCAUGCAGUUAAUGGGCUUUCAAAGCAGGUCUAUUAAACAACCGGGGAGUCCACAGACAUUUCUUUCAGUCCGUUGCUUACGAAGAAUUAAGAUAACUUUCAGCUAGAGCUACUUGUGCUCUGAGAUGAGAUAAGGAAGUCUCGAGGGUCUCUUGCGAUCCGUUUCAUGUUCUCUACCCACGCAUUAACAACUUGUUUGAACAAUGUGGGAUAUUUGAUAGUUUCCUUGUUAAAGUAAAUGUUUCCAUUGCACCCAUGGAAAGGGGUGGCUGCUUGACUUUAUCUUUUGGUUUCCUGACAUGUUUUUCUAGAGUUAUGCAUUCAUUAUAAGUAGGCUUGGAUUUUGGCUCUGAAGAGUAAUAUUGGGUGGGAAAGUCCAAAUAUAAAUGAUCUGAACAGUAUUUGUCCAUCUCUGGGGCUUUCAGGUACAGCAGGGAAUGUCCCCUCUUUCAAACUCUGGAAGGCUGUUGUGAGCUACAUUGAGCUAUAUGGACAGAUGGUUGUUGUAAGCAAUAUUCAGCUACAGUGGUACCUCGGGUUAAGUACUUAAUUCGUUCCAGAGGUCCGUUCUUAACCUGAAACUGUUCUUAACCUGAAGCACCACUUUAGCUAAUGGGGCCUCCCACUGCUGCCAUGCCACCACUGCACAAUUUCUGUUCUCAUCCGGAAGCAAAGUUCUUAACCGAGGUAAUAUUUCUGGGUUAGCGGAGUCUGUAACCUGAAGCAUAUGUAACCUGAAGCAUCUGUAACCCAAGGUACCACUGUAUAUGGGCAGAUAGUUCCUAUGUUCCUGGUUUAAUGGAAUAUGUGAUUAAAUUGUUUAUUAUAGCAUCAUCACCAUUGGUAAUACAAUGGAAAUGGGAGCAGAAGACCUUCUUUGGUAAUUUCAGAAUGGCUAUAUUAUUACUUACCAUUUUUUUAAAAAAAGCUUUUUAAUAACAAAUAAAAGAGGCGGAUCUGAUUUCACAAAAAGUAAGCAUUAAAAGGGACACGUCAAACGCUUGCUUUAUAUAUCUAGAGGCCUCAUGUUGUCACCUACAGAAGCACACCAGCUGCUAGGGUCAUAUGUAGAAGCCAUUUCUAAUGCACCACAGCAUCAUGAGCCUGUGGAUGCCAGAAGCUUUGAAAAGGAAGUGCAGCAGAGUUCAUUCUCAUUGCCCUGCCAGAACUGGGCACGAAAAGCUUUGUUGGAUGAGCAGGAAGGGUGGAGUACGGAAGGGCCCAUUGCUAAGGUAAGGUGGCUUUGGAGGAUGGGGGCAGCUCUCCAAAGUGUGGACUGUGAUUAUAGCCAGUCUUUUACUUUUAAGGGCCUCUUUUCAUAUGGCCCUAAACCUACGUUUAAAACAUGACAAAGCGUGUUCUCCUUCAUGGAGAGCACGUGUUGCGGUGGGGGCCGCCAGGACACUCCAAAGUUGGGGGCGGGCUAAUUGAUCGUUGGCCACUGAUGCGAUUGGGGCUUCCCUUGUUGUUGGGAAGCCAUUUGUUGAUUGACAGCCAGUAAUGCUAAAACUCCCUGCACAAGGGCGUAGAGCUUCCUCUUUUCGCCCCGUGCAUUGGAUUGCCCGUCCCCCCCCCCCCUAGAAUUAGGGUUGUUCACUUUGACCUUGCUAUGCCUGUCAUGGGGUUGUCUGCUCUUGGGGCAGGGGCCCGGUAGGAAUUUUGUCCAUUUGGCUGAUUGGCUGGGGCCAUUUGGUUUUUGCCUACUGCGUAGCAAAUCGUCACAACCUGUAAGGUUGCGGUUAGGCAUUGGUUUAUGGUUUGGUUGGUUGAGGGGCAUGGAUUGGCUGUGCCUGCCCCUCUAAUGCUGCUGCUGCAAGGGAUUCCGUUAAAGGAAUCAGGGGCUAACAAUUGCUUGUCCACUCUGUCAAGGGGGCUCGGGCCAUAGCAAUGAGCUCCUGGUUGCAUUUGGGGAGGGCUGAGGGCAGGUUCCCUGCUCCGUCGCUACGCCCAAGUCCAAGUCGCUACGCCUUUUCUGACUUUCGCAUUGUGCGGAAUGUCAGUCUGUCCCCCAUGGUGGGGCAGAUAGUCGCAACCAAUGCCUAAGCAACCACUCACAUUUUUGUAUUUUAAUAAAGUUGUGGCCAAAAUUAUGCCAAAAACCUUAAACAAAAAAUUCUGUGUGAUGUGUGAGUUAUUGGGGUGGCCCUGGGGACCUCGACACGCAACUGUAUUUUAUUGUUAUGUUGUAUUUUAUACAGUUUUGACCUACCAUGGGACACCUUGUGAUGAUACACUUUAUGUUCUUUCAGUAAUUCUUUUCACUCCUCAGGGUUCAUUGCAUUUCUGAGAGCAGAUUCACACCAGAUUCACACAACCAUCUAAUCAACAGAAACGGCUUCACAUGUGAACCAUCCCUUGCUUGAAGCAGGACAUGAAGAGAAAUGGAAACCCGAAAACUGUAUCCAGGAAGCUCAUUAUUGCGGUUCAUAUUUUCAGUAAGAAACCAGAUCACUUUUCAUGUUAUGGGCAUGUAGGCAUGCUUUCAAAAAGUAAGUACCCGAAAGAUUUUGUGUACGGCUCCUUGCAAAACAAAAGGCAGAAAUAUCAGCAAUGGAAUGCAUUAGCUAUAACCUCGUUUGACAUCUUUGCUAACACAGAGGGGGAGAAAUUCAGUAGAAAAUGCAUCAAGUGAAACAGUUAAGGGGAAGUUUCAUUAAUUAUACUUUUAAAUUGCAUUAUUUUAAGAUUUAUUAGUACAAGAAAAACCCCUAAAGUUCUGAAGAAGCAUUACCAUAACAUGCCUGUAACUCAAGUUGUGUUUAAUGAGAGGUGCUGUUGCUUCUGCCAUGAGGGUUCUUGUCCAAUGAGUGAUGGCUGCAAAAGAGGUCACAUGCAUAUUCAUCAAAUUCAGCAUGCACUUGUAAACUGGUCUUAAUAGGCCAUGACAGGAGAAGUUGUGUCAGGCAAAUGUAACCGCACAUGGGCUCGUUCCCCCAACUGGCAUAUAUAGGUAUUAAUGCCUGGUAUCCACAGAUGAAAUAUUAGCUUGCUAAAACCAUCAAUUGCUGGUGCUUGGUGGCAACUAAACAAGAGUGACGACUCCCUCUGCAAAAGAUGACUUCUUACGAGAGGAGAAUAAUAUAAAACGAUACAGUAAAGUUUCCACUUUGCACUGUUAUUUAUCGCAAAUGAAAAAUUGGAGGAAAAACCAGGUUCGCUGAUUCAGGAUACAUACCCAACCUCACCUGAAGAUGACAGGGAGUGAACAUGGAAUCGUUGCCACACAAAACCGACACAGUUGCAGUCCUCCCCCAUGGGAUGCUAUAAUAAUAAUAAUUUAUUAUUUGUACCCCGCCCAUCUGGAUGGGUUUCCCCAGCCACUCUGGGCGGCUUCCACAGAGACCAAAAAUACACUAAAAUGUCACACAUUAAAAACUUCCCUGAAUAGGGCUGCCUUAAGAUGUCUUCUGAAUGUCAGGUAGUUGUUUAUCGCUUUGACAUCUGAUGGGAGGGCGUUCCACAGGGCGGGCACCACUACCGAGAAGGCCCUCUGCCUGGUUCCCUGUAGCUUUGCUUCUCGCAAUGAGGGAACCGCCAGAAGGCCAUCGACACUGGACCUCAGUGUCCGGGCAGAACGAUGCUAUCGCCUUUAUAUCAUGUUUGAAAACUUCCGAGGGGCUUCUGGCUGGUCACUGUUAGACCCAGGAUGUUGAACUAGCUAGAUUUGGAGAAAACACAAAAGGUUCUUUUAACUAAUACCUGUUUAAUUCUUUAAUUGAUAAAGCAGUAGGGCUGGUUCUUAAUUCUGGACGGUUCAUACCUGAUUUACUGAUAUAUCAUUCUAGAGAUGAAAAGUGUAUAAUUAUUCUGAAAACGUAAAAGAAAACCUUUCAAAAUGCAAAAAAAGAUGAUGCAGGUGUUACUUGACUGAAAGCCUGCAAGUUAUUUUUUACCAAUAGGAGAUGCGAAUGUUAUUAAUAAUUUUAUUAUCAUUAUUAUUACUAUUAUUACUAUUGUUAAUUGUUAGCAUUAAUCACCCACCCUUCACUAUAUGAUCCCAGAGCAAGAUAAAACAAUUUAAAAUACAAUAUUUAAAACAAAUUAAGUAUAUACAUGUCAAGUGUCAAAGGUCAGGGUAAAGAGUUGAUACUGUAACUGGUGCAUAACUAGAGCAGCAGAAUGUUGCCAGGGUCAGAUCCUGUCACGUGACAUGCCUACUCAAGGGCAAACAGAAGUCCCCCCCCCAAAAAAAGUUAAGGAUAUUUAUGUCACAUUCUGGAAUUUUCAGUAAUGUGAGGUUUUUGGUCAAUGUGGGGGGAGAUCUGUAUGUGGGUCAUCUUGUUUCAUUGGGUUUUUUAAGGGAUUUUUUUUUUUUGUUACAUGGCUUCAUUUCAUGGUCAACAAUACUAAGGGGGGAAGACAAAUUAAAAUUUACUUGGAUGACAUUGCGACUUGUUUAGGAUUCAGGAUUUAGUGAUUUCAUACUCAGAAAGGAUGCUCACCGUGACAGAACUUCCUAUGGUUUAAAUAUUUUCACAUUCUUUCAAAGUUGCAAGAAUAAGUUCGAAGGCGCAUAACCACAUAAAAACAGUAAUUUAGUUUGAAAAGCUGGUAAUAACAAAAAAAAAAAAAAACAGAUUGACAAAAAUAUAUCAUUUGUUACUUAAAUAUGGUAUAGAACAAGUACAAAUUAAGGAAUACAUGGUGAGACGGGCUCAGAAUAUCUGAGAAAAUAUCCCAGUGGGUGGAUGGGAAUAAUUAUGGCUGACAGCCGUAUGUUCUCCCUAAACUCGGGAGUUUGACAAAAAUGCUACAAAAUCAUGAGCAGGUUUUAUAUCACACCCACAAAGGUAAAUAAAAUCAAUUUUGAAAAUGCUUUGUUCUUGCUGGAACUGCCAAAAAGGAAAGGGCAGUUUUUAUCGCAUGCAGUGGAAAUGUUCUAUGGCAAAAAAACAUACUGGGUGUUGGGGGAUCAAAGCAGGUUCAAAGAAUUUGGGGUGAUGGCCUUCCAUUUGUUGACCGCUGCAAGAAAUUUAUAUGCAGGGAAGUGGAAAACAACUACAGUAAGGUAAAGGUAAAGGAACCCCUGACUAUUAGGUCCAGUCGUGACCGACUCUGGGGUUGCGGUGCUCAUCUCGCUUUAUUGGCCAAGGGAGCCGGCAUACAGCUUCCGGGUCAUGUGGCCAGCAUGACUAAGCCGCUUCUGGGGAACCAGAGCAGCGCACGGAAACGCCUUUUACCUUCCCACCGGAGCAGUACCUAUUUAUCUACUUGCACUUUGAUGUGUUUUCUAACUGCUAGGUUGGCAGGAGCAGGGACCGAGCAAUGGGAGCUCACCCCGUCGCGGGGAUUCGAACCGCCGACCUUCUGAUCGGCAAGUCCUAGGCUCUGUGGUUUAACCCACAGUGCCACCCACGUCCCAACAACUACAAUACAAUACAGCAAAGAUUACUCACAAAAUCUUCUUGAUAAACUACAACUGCUGGGAUAGCUCAAUCAGCAGAGCAUGCGACUCUUAAUCUCAGGGGUUUGAGAUUAAGGGGUUUGAACCUCCGGGAUUCGAGAUUAAUGUGGGGUUUGAGCCUCACAUUGGGCAAAAGGUUCCUGUAUUGCUGGGGGUUGAGCUAGAUGACCCCUCUGGUCCUUUCCAACUCUAUGAUUCUAAGGUUUGAAUCAUCAAUUCAAAUUUACUCUCUCUGUUAAUAGGUACUGAUAAGUGUGAACACCAUCACUUAGAGCCUUCAUUGUUUUGAAUCAUCAUUCAAUUUUCUUCUAGACAUUUUGGAAACAUCUGUCCUCCUCAAAUGUCUUAGCCAGGUCCUAGCUCAGGACUGUGUGUGUGUGUGUGUGUGUGUGUGUGUGUGUGUUGUGCAGUCUGCUAUGCAUUUAGCUCCCUUAACAGAAAAUAUUACAGGGAGGGCUCUCAAAUGAAGUGUUGACUAGGAUCUUAAAGCAAUAUGUUUACAUGAUGUAAAAGUGUCUCCAUAGCUUUCAGGCAAAGUGGACCUUACUGUAAAAAUUAAUCUAGCAAGUGAAAAUAUUUCUGUCGGAAGGAACAAUAAUAUUUCAUGGCGGGGGCAAUUAUGGGAUGGGGAGGGAGGGGCAGCAGGAAAGAAACAAAUGAAAGUGUUCUCAACUGUCAUGCCUUUGCUCCCCAGGAGGGUGAAACCGUUGCUUGAGAGAGCCCUCGAGACGCCACCACUUAAAGGUCAAAAAAGGAGUUCUUUUGAGGUGACAUUCAAACCUUUAAUAGCUGGCAGCCAGUUUUGACAAUAAUAAUUUUUCCCUCAUUGCAGUUUACUGCUCAGUUACCUGUCCAUGGCAGCCUGGCUGCGGCAGUAACCCAAUCUAGUUUAUUUUAGGGGUGGGAGUUGAGGGUGUGCCUUCAGCCUUCCACAGCCCUAUCUAUAAUUAUGCUAACAGCGCUUCAGGUUGCAUGUUAGGCCCUUGCUGAGAUUAGUCAUUAUAAUAUCAGUUUACUCCAAACAGGGGUAGCGGAAUGGCUUUGGUAGCAGAGGUGACUCAAAGUUUAGUAAUUCUUAGGGGAGGUUUACUGUCUCCUGCUGCUUUCUGUUCCACAAAUUUGGCCUCCAUGAUAAAGGGCAUUGCACACAAAUAUUGGUAGCUCUUCAUUUCUGUCAUUCUUGACCCUGUAGAAGGUGGAGCCAGCAAAGAGGAUUCAUUCCAGAAGAAGAACUAGAUUCCUCAGCUGGACACAUUUACUUGCUGACAAAUGACAUUUUUAGGAGGCCUCUUCGAAGUGCUGAAAAGAGCUGUCCAUCUUCACAGGAUGAUAUUAGAAGGUCCUUGGGCUAAGGCUCAGGGCUGAAAAGGAGAGGACUGAAGUGUGACAACGUUGCUUCAGAUGCCACUGAGACUGAGAACUGAGCAGUACCACUUCAGCCUGCCAGUAGAGACACUGAGUGCUAUGAAACUCCCUGGAAAAGGAGGAACAGAAACCACCUAGCAUGCCAAACUAGUACUCUUCUCCUUGGCAUGUUGAUUGUCAACAUGGAGCGAGUUCUUUCUAUGGAGGAUCAUUCAGUCCGUAGGGUCUCCACAUGCAGGUGUUAAUGCCAAAGUCCAAAUACAGGUUUGCCAGCACUGCAAGAAGAACCAGCCCAUGAACUCAGAGUAAGCAGUACAAAAAGGAAGGCAAAGGUUUGUCUUCUGCGUUGGUAAUAAUUUGUACAGGUUCAAAAACAUACAGGCUAUUAAGUUAGGAUUACCAGACGUCCCCAGUUCCAGGGGACAGUCCCCGGAUUUGCAAAUCUGUCCCCGGACAAAUUCUGUCCCCAGAUUUGCAAAUCUGUCCCCGGGAAACGUGGCAGCGGCAGCCUCAGAAGCCCGGAUCCAGCCUGGUAGCGCAGUUGGCUCUGGCUGGCUUCAGGAGCUGCUCGCUGCUCGCUGCGGCCGCCACUGCCGAAGGGGAACCAGGGACUUCCGGCAGUACAGAUCUCCUGCCCCCUUCCCCCUUUGUUUUGACAGAUUAAGAGAGGCUCGGGAGUCGUGCGUGGGUGACCGUUGCCCAGGAGGGGCGCAAGGGGCGUAGUUUCUCUGCCAGGCAAGGUGCAAAGCCCCUCUUUCGCACCCUGUGAAACAUAAAUGCACAGAGGGUUUUUUUAAAAACUGGGCAACGGCUGGCCGCCUGCGACUCACGAGCCUCCCCUGAUCAGUCAAAACAAAGGGGGGAGGAUAUCGGGGGAGGCUCGGGAGUCACGGGUGGGUGGCACACCAUUGCUGUUUUUAAAAAACUCUCUGCAUUUAUGAUCCACAGGGUGCAAAAAAAGGGCUUUGCACCUUUAUACAAUAUGCAUGUGUGCUUGGGCCCAGGGUCUUUUGCCUCACCAUCCCCACUAUUGACUCCCUGUUGCUACUCAGCUUCAAAAAAGAAAGAAAGGAAGAAAGGAAGGAAGGAAGGAAGGAAGGAAGGAAGGAAGGAAGGAAGGAAAAAGUAUCCCCAGAUUCAUUGAAAAAAAUCUGGUAACCAUAUAUUAAGUUGCAGUUCAGCAACCGUCAGCGUUCAACAAUACCCCUUCAGGUGGUCUUUACAAAAAUUAAAGAGAGAAAUGCUAAUGAAUCAGAGAGUUUCACCCCAUAUAGAAAAGGCAACCCACUAUUCCAUUAACAUUUAAAGUUCAAUUCAGGGGGUGUGGUAUUUGCUUUAACUCUCAGCUUUUGUUGUCUGUCACAGGGUCAGUGUGGUGGGGUACACAUCUGAAAAAUAAAUUUUAAAAUGCCAAGGGAAAAGACCCUGAUUUUGUUCAGUGGAGACUUAAAAAGACACACAACCAAGGCAUGUGCACAAUCCUCAAGUCCUCCAGACAUUUCCUAAGCAAUGAGCCCCCCAUGAGGUUUACUUCUGAGUAAACAUGCAGAGGACAGUGAAGCUUCACUGGAGUCACUGAGGGUUUUAAUCCAUAAAUCUCCCACGCGUCUUGUCAUCUGGUGGCCAUAACCAAAUGGAAUGUGGUGUACAAAGGAAGAACAUUCCAUAAUACUGAACCACUGCUGUAGCACAAUCACGCAAAAGCCCUCUUAUAUAUUUAUCUCCAAGGGCCAAACUAGACCUGAUGUUAAAUGUAAGUCAACACUUAAUGGGCUUUAAAGAUAUCAGAAAAGCCUGGUGGAUCAGGCUCAUGGCCUAUCUGGUCCAGCCUUUUAUUCUCACAGUGACUGACCUAUGGGAAACAUGCAAGCAGGAUUCAAGCACAAGAACCCUCCUGUGGUUUCUAGCAAAUGGAAAUUCAUUGCUGCCUCCAGCUGUGGAGACAGAAGAAGAAGAGGAGGAGGAGGAGGAGGAGUUUGGAUUUUGAUAUCCCGCUUUAUCACUACCUGAAGGAGUCUCAAAGCGGCUAACCAUCUCCUUUCCCUUCCUCAAACACAACAAACACUCUGUGAGGUGAGUGGGGCUGAGAGACUUCAGAGAAGUGUGACUAGCCCAAGGUCGCCCAGCAGCUGCAUGUGGAGGAGUGGAGACGCGAACCCGGUUCACCAGAUUACGAGUCCACCGCUCUUAACCACUACACCACACUGACAGAGCAUAGUCAUCAAGGAGAGGGCCGUCAGUAGCCCUCUCCUCCUCCAUGAAUUUGUCUAAUCCUCUUUUAAAGCCAUCUAGAUGGGUGGCCACCACAGCCUCUUGUGAGACCAAGUUAACUAUGCGCUGUGGAAAGAAGGACCUUCUCUUAUCUUUCCUGAAUGUUCCAACAUUCAUCUUCACUGGAUGCCUAGGAGUUCUGAGACAGGAAGAAAAACCUUUCUCUGUCCACUUUUCCCAUGCCAAGCAUAGUUUGAUGAACAUCUAUCACCUCAUCACCUGUGUCACCUCAUACCUGCAUUUUCUCUAAACUCAGAGGUCCAAAAUGCUGCAACCUUUCCCUCUAGGAGAGCUUCCAUAUUAUUUCAAUGAGGAUCCUACAGCACGAGUUGGGGGAGGUGGGAGGCAGGCAGGAUCUAGAGUAAGAAGAGAAAAGUUUUGUUUCUUUUUUCCGUAGGAGGCAGCAUUGCAUUAUUUUGAAUUUGCUAGACACGUUGCAUUUCUACGGCUUGCAUUUGUGCGAGAAAAUGAGCAUCCUAACGCUUGGUGCUGACAGAGUUAAUAUGAAUGUGGAGUUAGGGAAGGAUGUGGGAUAUGCCAGUAGUAACACUGAGGGCAGCAGAGGUGACUGAAAGUUUAGAAAGCUUUAAAGAGAGUUUACUGUCUCCUGUUGCUUUUGUGUUUCAACAAAACUGCCCGGUGUAAAACCAACAUUGGCCGGCAGCAGUGGGAAUACAUUUCAGUCACUCUUUAGCAACACUUUUAUUUCCAUCAUACUUGACCACAGCAGGCUGCAACCCGGCAAAGAGCGUUCCUUUGAGAAAGCAAGGAGACAAUUCAGCAGCGGUGGAUUUACUGUGUGAAAAUCGGCGUUUUAAGGGCUUCGAGAAAAUGGAGAAACGAAUGCGCUUUCCCCAUUCUCUUUCACAGCUUGACUCUCAUCUUGUAAAACUGUUAAUGCUAAAUAAUUCAAGAGUUUUCUAUGGAACUUAAAAUUAGGCUGUAUCGAGUGCAGCUACUUUGUGGUUAGUUUGAAUUUGCAUUUGGGUUGCCAAAGAUAAGCAUAGACAUGAAAAAAAUGGAGGGUUCUUUUCCUCCCCCAGCCCCCCAGUGAACAAAGGGAAUUUUGUACACAUCUUCUUAAUGGAAAUUUAGACAUACUGAAGAGUGGGAUGGAAAAAGCACAAUGUGACUGUUCGUUUCUGCAGUGCACCUGUUACACCUCACAGAAGUGUGUUUGCUAAUUUUAAUAUCAUACUUUCCUGUUCAGCAUAGUGGCCAGUCUAGUCCCCUCCACAUUCCCAAGGUAUAGUCAAUAAUACUUUCAGUGCAAUUACUCAGAUAAUAGGGCAAUUAGAUACAAAGCUUUAUCAGUGGUGACGCAGAGCGAAAUGGUGUUCCCUAAUGAUAUUAAGAUUGUGCUGCUUGUAGGUCUGCCUACAUACCCAAGAACAGAGAUUUUAAAAAUUAUAACACUCAGUAGAUAGGAUCAUAAAUGAAUAAGUAGAUGUCCAUAUUGGCAGUGUCUAUUCUAAUGAUGCUUAUGCCUUUGGUCAGCUCAACACUGUGCUUUCAAUGGGGCUGGAGUGUUGCCAGUCCCCCCCCCCCACCUCCGACUUAUGAUUUUUCAGAUUCCCACUGUAAAGUUGAGCUUGCCUCAGUUUGAAGAACACAGACACGUUACUGAACAUUUUCCUUUUACUUCUUCCUCCAGCUCUUCCCACUGCUAAACAAAAAGCCCACUGUGCAGAUUUGAAAGUGGUGUCUGUUCGGCAGUAAAGAAAAAUGGAAAUACUACUCCACCUCAGUGUUAGAAACAGAUAUGAAAGCUAGGAGCUGAAUGGCACCUUAAACCGAGGUUAUGAGCACAACUACGGAAUGUCUGGGCGCGCUUUUUUAUAACAAGGAUACAAAGCUGAAAAUGAAUGAACUGCAGCUAAAAUAUUAUGUUCACUUUUCACAUGGUCUAGUCCUUCCUCUGCCCACCUCCCAUAUAUUCUUAAGAGGGUCUCUUCUCCAGUCUUCAGAAAGUAGCUGGAAGUGGGGAGGCAGGAAAAGGUCCUCCUUUCCUUCCACUCUGCAGUUUUAAUCUGAAAUCUUAGGCGCAGUGCUGCGCCCAGAGCUCAGAAACUGAUCGUGCUAAUGAUAUUCCCUGUCGCAAAAUGUGCCUAGAACAAUGGGAGUUUCAAACACUGCUCCAGCGGCCUACACAUGUGUUCUUCAGGACCUGGACAUAGUUUCUGGCCAGUUUCUUUUCCCUCCUAAUUUUGAUUCAAUGAUAUUUCCAUAUUGUUUCUUUAAUUUAUUGCAUUCUUUCCACGGAAGAGUUUCAUAGGGUCUUAUCAGGGCCGGCUUACCCAUAGGCGCUAGGGAUGCGGGGCACCCGGGCGCCAGGCUCUCAGGGGCGCCAGGCUGAGAGUCCAGUGCUGAGAUUUGGAGUCCAGCAAUUGAAGAGCCAGGCCAGCUGACAGCCGCUGCCGAGCAGAGCAGAGCCCGUCAGAGCACCACAGGCUUUCCUGCUGCAGGUGCUGAGGCAGCCGGCUGGCUCUACCCUCCUGCACGCCUGGGAUUGGCGGGAUGUCAAGAGACCCGUGCAGCGCAUGCAUGCUGCUCACAGGAGGUGCGCAGCUUCCCUCCCGAGCUUCUGUGGGGAUUGCUCUCUUUCCACCACCUGCAGUGGCAUGGGAGAGAGUUGCGUGCUCCCCCAAAAAGCUCAACAACUUUGGCCUGCCCCCCCAAAAAAAUUGGGGGACGCUGGGCGGUUUUUUGGACCACAGUGCAGCAUGUGCUAAAGACGGCCCUGGGUUUUACAGCAAUAAAAUACAUGCAAAUAGAAUUCAUACAAUGGCAGGAUUUAAAACCACUAAUAGCAUACUCAGAGUGGCCCUGCAUUAACAGUAAUCAAUAAAGGAACAUGCAUUUUCUGCAUGCAACACAGGCAUUACAGUGGUACCUCGGGUUACAUACGCUUCAGGUUACAUACGCUUCAGGUUACAGACUCCGCUAACCCAGAAAUAGUGCUUCAGGUUAAGAACUUUGCUUCAGGAUAAGAACAGAAAUUGGGCUCCGGCGGCGCGGUGGCAACAGGAGGCCCCAUUAGCUAAAGUGGUGCUUCAGGUUAAGAACAGUUUCAGGUUAAGAAUGGACCUCCGGAACGAAUUAAGUACUUAACCUGAGGUACCGCUGUAUUGCCAGAAAAGUCUCUGAAAUGAAAGCAUGGUACUGUGGUACCUCAGGUUACAGACGCUUCAGGUUACAGACUCCGCUAACCCAGAAAUAGUACCUCGGGUUAAGAACUUUGGGUGAGAACAGAAAUCGCACAACAACGACGCGGCAGCAGCAGGAGGCCCCAUUAGCUAAAGUGGUGCUUCAGGUUAAGAACAGUUUCAGGUUAAGAAUGGACCUCCAGAACGAAUUAAAUUCUUAACCCAAGGUACUGUAUAUUGAUUCUUGCACCUGUCUUCCUUGCUUUUCUCCCUUCAGAUUCCCUCAGUUUCCAUUAUUUUCAUCCAUCCAACAUCAAGAUCAAGGAAUAACACACAUCCAUAUCUUUUUAAAAAAAUAAUAAAUGGAGUAAAAUAUAUCCUGAGGGUUGGAGUACAACUUUACUGCCAUUCCAGCAACAUAGUUAACCCUGGAAUUUCUUCUACCACAUCUUUAAUUUACUUCUCCCCAGUGGUAAUUACUGCUUUGCAGAGGAAAACCCACUGUUUCUACUCUUCUGCCUUAUCUUGCAGUGAAGAAGGCAGCAAAAAAUGUUUUGUCGCUUCCCUGUGACUCAGCAAAAAGGGGGAGUAAACUGACCUUUCGUUUCCUCCUUUCUCCUUCUUCAAGCUCAGCUCUUUCAUCCAGGAAAUGAAUGAGGGUUAGUCAGUUAUUAAGCUACUUUUCUAGGACCUCAUGGUUUUAAUGGUAAUACUUGGGGGGAAAGGCAGAGAAUAAAAAUAUGUAAGGAAGAAUGUAAUCUUGUACACCUUAAUUAGGUGAAAAGACAGCCUUGGGCUGUGCCUUUUUUGUGCAAUGUACCAGCUAUUUUGCACCCAUGUCUUGACUCAUACAUUAGUCAAGACACUAGCUCAGAACCAAAGAGGAAGCUCUGGACUCCACCUUUGUUUUACAACUAAGCCCGGUGCCAUCUAAUGACUAAAUUAUGCUGCAGUCCACAUAAUGUUCUGUGGUCCACCAGUGGCCUUCACUGCAAGGUCAACCACUUGAAAACUUCCAUUGUGGCAGCUCUCCCUGUGUGGAAUGCUGAACGUUACAAUGUUCCUGUGUCCUACGUUUGUUACCAUUUGACCAAGUCUGCAUGUAGAAAAACCCCAUGUUGUUUUAAAGCUAUGGCUACACAGGGAGUGAUCAGCUGUUUCCAACCAAGAGAUAAGGUGCACCAGAUAACCACCACCAGACGGUGAGAUCAUGAGAUGCAGAGCAACUGGAACUACCAAAUCUGGGACGCAAGAGCAUGGUGGUGGGUUAGGAAAAUGAGUUGAAGAAGGGAGAAAUAAUAUCAAGUAAGACAGUAUACGUGCUGGAUCAUGUUCUGGAUAGUGGUAACAGGGUUUUGCUUUGGAGAGAGAGAGAGACAGAGACAGAGAGAGAGAGGAGAUGAAGAAAGCACGGGAUUUAGGAUGAAUAAUUAGAAGUUUACUGUUGGCCAUAAUCUAUUUAACAUACUAAAGAGAUUAUGUCAGAGGGACAGGAAGAGAUGAAGAACUGGCAUGACGGAUGGGGAGAGGCUGCCCAUGGAAGUCUUCAGAAGGACAUUGUUAUAAGUUAGCUUCCUAUUUGCUCCAGACCAAGCAUGAGAGCAGUCAUGCCAAUUAUAUUGCCGAAUGUAAUUGGUGCAACUUUCCUGUGUUCGUCAAAGAACAGGGCAGGAGUGACAUUACGCUGAAAAGUCAAAUUGCGUAAGUGUAAUAUAUCUCUGUUCUUUGAGCAGAUACUAAUUGAAUAUGGGUAUUAAUGGUUAUAAGGCUCUUCUUAAUACGUAAAUCAUAUUUUACGGCACAAAUUCAUAGCAAUGACAACGUGUCAUAAAUAAAGAUUUACAGGUUUAAUAACAGCAGUUUGACUGGCAUCGAACAACCAUAGGAAAGGAAAUACUAAAUUAGUUCAGUUCUCCAACAGUGUUUAGUUUUAUAGCGUGUUCUUCAUUAAAAAGGAUUUGAGUAUAUCUGAACUUUGUCAGCGUUUCUCCAAAGUAGCGACUCUUGAGAACAGAGGUUUAUAUUUUUAUAUAUACCACAUUACCUUUAGAUGCCCUUUUCCAUGUGCCCACAUGGUUUGAUGAAAAGCAGAAAGAAGAGAGUCUUCUCAGUGGUGGCAUUCCUCCUUUGCAAUACCUUCCCCACAUUUGGGUAUGAACCAUUAUGCCCUUUCAAUACCAGACAAAGAACUUUUUAAUCUACCAGGCCUUGUGCUGCUUUUCUGUACAGGUGCUGAUUUCAUACUGAUUGCUUAACUUGUUCAGUUGCCUGCAUUUGCUUUUGACUGUUUUUAACAUAUGAACUGUCCAGAGGAUGUGGUUAAGUGGGCACUGCUGUAUAGAAAUGUCAUAAAUAAAUACAUAUUAAGAUCCCAAUAAGCAGACCAUCCAAAGCGGAAGGUGGAUGAGCUGAAGAUGGUGGAACUGCCAAAUUCAAAGCCCUACGGGGAUCAAACCAGUAAAACAUAAAGUGGGGAAGCUGAAAUUUCCCAUCCCCCCCUUCAUUAUUAUUAUUAUUAUUAUUUUAGAUUUUCCUUCCCAUUGAUUUGGAAGCAAAUCUUUUCACAGCACCCAGGAGAAAGCUUCUGAGGAUGAAACUUCCUUUCUGUUGGAUGCAUUGGGAGAUCAGGAAAAUUCAGUGGCCCCACAGGAAAAUUCAGUGGCCCAGGGACUACAGGAUUGUAACUUGAAUCCAGUUUUAGUACUGUUGCAAAAAUCAGGUUUUUCUUGACUCGUUGCUUAAGUAUUAAGUACUUAAUACAGUCACAUGGCUCUCAACAGCCACUUUUGUGUUCCUAUACCAAAAGGAACUUUUACCACAUUGGUAAAAGUAACUAAGCUAAGUUUUACUGCUUGUCAACUUUACUGAAACACAUAAACCUGAACUUUGAAGCGUUUGUAAGUAACCCAGUUUUUAAUUACCAAAUAUGCAGUCUUUUCCUUUGUUGGGGGAAGAGGGAAAUUUUGGAUCUCACUUGGAAGAGCAUAUUUUAAAGGUCUAACAGCCUAUAUUUCUAUGCUUUACUGUGCUGCAUAUUUUGUGACUUUAAUUCUCUGCUGGGUUUCUUGAAUCUUUGUAUCCAGGGAAAUGGCUAUCUAUCUGUCUAUCAUCUAUCUAUCAUCUAUCUAUCUAUCUAUCUAUCUAUCUAUGCCAGCAGUCUACUUAACAAUAAUUAGUCAGACAGGUCAUGAAUCUCUUCAAUUAUUUUAUCUUUCUUUUGCCUUCAUUAUUUGUAGGCAUGCAUACCCAUCAUAAGGAUAACGGUGGACUUAGCUGCCACAAUGUGCUGAGUACAGUGGUACCUCUAGAUGCGAACAAGAUCCAUUCUGGAGGCCCGUUUGCAUCUAGAAGCAAACAUAACCAGCGGCGGCACGUCUGUGCAUGCACGCAUCGCUUCUCGCCGCUUAUGUGCAUGCGCAUUAUGUCAUUUUGAGCGCAUGCGCAAGAGGCAAAACCUGGAAGUAACGCGUUCCGUUACUUCCGGGUUCGCAACUCGAACGCGCUCAUCCCAAAGCACAUUAAACCCGAGGUAUGACUGUACUGAAAGGCUGAAUCUGUUCAGGUGCCCUCUAUGCAUGACCUCUACACAUGAAGUCUGCAAAACAGUUUAGAAAUACUUAACUGUAGAUCAGGUCGAGGAGGAAGACUGUGAUGGCAAUGUGGAAUAGGAGUUAAGAUUCCAGGAGAUAUGUUAAUAUUUCAUGUUAGUUUCUGCUUAAUUGUAUUGGAGGAGCAAAGUUUGCUGUCUGAUUUGUCUCAGUUUGGUACAUUUCUUAACUUCCAUCUUAACUAACCAUCAGCAGGAGCAUUGUCACUCUUUUUCACAAUGACUAAGGUACCCCUGCCCGAAGGCCAGUCAUGUCCGACUCUAGAGUUGUGCGCCCAUCUCACUUAAGAGGCCGGGGGCCAGCGCUGUCUGGAGACACUUCCGGGUCACGUGGCCAGCGUGACGAAGCUGCUCUGGCGAGCCAGCACCAGCACAGCACACGGAAACGCCGUUUACCUUCCCGCUAGAAAGCGGUACCUAUUUAUCUACUUGCACUUUUAGGGGUGCUUUUGAACUGCUAGGUGGGCAGGAGCUGGGACCGAAGACGGGAGCUCACCCCACCGCGGGGAUUCGAACCGCCGACCAUGCAAUCGGCAAGCCCUAGGCGCUGAGGAUUUACCCACAGCGCCACCCACGUCCCUUUCACAAUGGCUAGGAGGGUGCUAUUGUGCUCAGUUUAUGCUUGUGCACUGCCAGUCUGCCAAUCUGAUUCCCAGUUCAUGCCAAUCUGAUUGGCCAAUCUGGUUGGCCACUGAGAGUGCUAGGCUAGAUGGGCCCAUUGGCUUCUUAUGUUCUUGAGCAGAAAGGCUUUGUGAUUUGUACAAACAGUACGAUUACUCAGAAAUUAAUGGGGAUGAUAAAGGGAAAGAUCUCAGCACCUGUGGUUUGCAUAAACCCCUCUGCUUUCAGAAGAAUUGUGUAAUUUGAAAGCAGAUUAUAUGCACUCAAUUAAAACUUAACAUUUCCCCUGGCGUAUUGGUUUAGAGAGUGUUGUAAUGUUAUUCCUCCGGUUUUCAAAUUUUAUGCUCCAAGUAUAGAUGGGGUUCUUUCCUAAUAAUCUUAAAAUUAGUCAGGCUCUCCUUUCCCAAAUUUAAUUAAAGCCAGCAUCACUGCUCUCCUGAAGAAAAGCUGAGUUUGCAUAAUGGAAAGCAAAACAAUUUUAAGAAAAGGCUGUAUUAAUCAUGAUUAUUACAGCAAAUCACAAUAAAUACUGUUCUUCUAGCCAAGAGACAGAUUGAUAAUAGUACUGCACUCUAACUAAGCAGGUAGUAAGAGCCUCCCACAUAAGCAUUCAUUAGAUUUUGUUUCCUGAAUAAGGAAGCAGCAGUCUAUUCUGGACUUGUAGCCAUUUUCAGAGUGUUCAGCAUAUUCUUCUAAAUGCCUGCAGUUCUUUUGAGACUGUACCACUUUAGAAUACAAAUGGAUGAAUCACCCAAUAGUAGGAAAUCCUCAGAACCAAAAGCCUUCCCUUUUUUUUGAGCAUCAUGCCUUUUAGAUUGUGAACCACAGGGCACAGGCUGCCUUAAUACUAAUCUUGUAGCCUUUUGGGUGGAAUAAACAAAACAAAACAAAACAAAACAAAACAUCUACCUUCUGAAAUAGGAUGUAUAGCUCUCACUAUUGCCCAAGCAGGCACAUUCUGUGACCCAGAAGAGCAGCAAAUGACCCAGCGGUACACCAGGUGUUGUAAUAAAAUCAGUCCAAAUAUUUAUUUACUGCAGCAGGCAGGUCAAGGGUUGGCAUGGCAGUAGGGCAAGGAUCAAUUCAUCAUUCCACUCGCCCAUGGAGGUGGAAUAGGAUCUGCUGUGGCUGGACUACACCAAACCCGUAGAGUCAACAGGUUUCUCUGGCCAGGCAGAGACCCCAACGUGAGCUUGGGGAUGUAAUCACCAAUCCUCCCCUCAGGCCCCUUAUGGGGGCCUCCUUGACUAUAUGUUGCUUCUGCCCUUUAUUCUGCCUGACGAAAUAGUCACAAAUCUCACUGAGACUUCUUCCCAUGAGUCCAUGCAGGAUUCAAGAUGUGGGUGAAAUUCUGCCCCCAUUUGCAUCUUGACUGGGCCAACCACCCCCAGCGAUGCAGUCUCAUGUGGACUGGGCGUGGAGCACAGCUUCCAGUAGCUUUGGGCGAGUGUCUCUGAAAGACUCACACAAUCUAUCUUGGGAAAGGAGUUUUGGUCUAAGUGUUCAUUUGCUUUCCUUUCAGCUCUGCACAUCUAUAAUCUAAAUUAAGGACAGGAAAAGUCUACCCUGAUUUAAUCCUGAUUAGCUUUGACUGGCAUAGAUAAGUGAAAUCUCUGGAUAUGCAGUUCAGUAUCAAUUUUUAGUUUGUGUCAAUUUCAACUUCAUUCAGAAAGUCCAUUCCAACCCAUUACCACACAUUAAUCUGUGGAUCUUAAAAUCUAUAUUUUAAGUACAUAUUUUAUCUCAAGGCACACAUUUCUAGAUGAAUUUUAUCCAAAAGUACACAUUUUAUAAAGUGGAUUUUAGUACCUUUUUUUCAGCGAAGAACUGUCAACAUUUUGAAAAGUGCUAAAUCCCAAGAAUAAUUGUGCUGCAAUCUGCACAUAAGUUCAGGAGAAGUAGACAAAUGAGGUUAGUUUUCACUGUAUUCACAGAAAUCAGUUUUCUCAAACUUGCCAUAUUUGUUGUUGUGUGUGAAAUACAUUGGCCAGAGGGUUGAACUACAUGUUAUAUACAUUCAACUGAAUGCAAAUUUCCUCUGACUUUUUGGGGGGGGUUUGUGAGAAAAAGAGUCACAGGAGGUUGCAACCAGGAGCAAAGAAAGAGUAAAUGGGGAAAAGAAUGUAUCUCUUUCAACACCAGAUAUAUUUCUGCUUCAAAUCACCCCAGGCAGCUUUUUCACCUGGUGUAGAAAAGAUACCGAUCCCAAUAUUUUUCCUCCAUAGAGAUAAAAGCAGCCUGAAGGAGUAAUUUGAACUACACAAAAAAAUUAAGCAGGCCUGCCUGCUGCCCAUCCUCCGCUCAAGAUUGAUUAUGCCACAAUCAUUUUUUGUUUGUUUUCUGUUUCACAAAAAAAAAGUUGAGGGAAAGUUACUUGAAACGAUGUGUAAUGUGUAGCUUGCCCCAGACUGUCUUAUCGUUUGCUGGUCUGAUUUCUGUGUCUUCUCUGCUGACAAAACCAUUUCCCUUUUUUAUUUGUAACAAACCCUGUUUGAGGCUACAGUUCUCUGUGUGCUUACUUUGGAGUAAACCUUAUUAAAUUCCAGAGGACUCGUUUCCAAACCACCACAAAAUAGGAGCAGACUGCACAUCAGUCAAGUUUUGCUCUGUCUUCUUCUCUUGAAGGAAAAAAUAAAUUACCCCAUGCCUACAUUUUUUUUACUCCUCUUUCAGAAGCAGCCAUAUUUAAUACACAUUUCAGAAUUCAGAUGUGGCCGCACGGGGAAGAAACUUCCACCGACAUCUCUUGUAUGUGCUAGAAGCAUGAUCUGCUUUAUCCACAAGCACAACUGUGUAAGAAAGUUAUUAAUACAGAAAGGGCAAUACUGUGCUCCCCCCCCCAUGCCAUUUGCUGGUGGUAUACUCACUGGCUAAUUCUCUCUGCUAGUAUUUUGAAAGUGUGUGACUUCUUAUGAGGCUACUCUUCCUGCAAAGGAUACUGAAACUGCCCUGUUUCCCUGAUGAAAGAGCUAGGCUUAAGCCACCCAUACCAACCCCAUCCAUUCCAACAUUGAUUUUUGACUGGGAUGCCCUUUAGAAGCUGUCAGCCAUCCAUUCAAACAAGCGGGGGGGAGGGAUGCUGCCAUAUUGAAGGGCCUCCUUGACUUUAUUCCUCAGAGGAUGUUCCCUGUCAUGUCUUUGCAGAUGUUUUCGCCAUAUAUUUGUGUCUCAAACAGUCUAUUAAUUCCCCAUCCAGAGGCUCCAUGCAAUUAAUGGUGCUUUUUGAACAACUAGACUACUGCUGUGGAAAUCAGAUGCUGCCAGUUUUCAACAUACUUGCCGUCUCUCCCCCCCCCCUUUUCUUUUUUUGCAAGAGGAGACCACAUUCCCUAACACAGUCAUGUCCCUGUGCAGCUUUUGAUCCCGUUUUCAAAAUGUGAAUGUUUAUAGAUAAUGGGCUCAGUUAUCGCCAGUGAAAACAGAUUUUGCUUUCACUUAUCUGAAGCCAACAAUUCUGGCUUGUUGUUGCACAACCAAACAAUGUCUAAAAAGGCAUUUGGUCUUGGAUGAGAUCACCAACAUCUGUUGCUGAAAAUUAUUAUAUUUAAUCCUUAAGUAUAGCCAAGGCGGUUAUAUAAGGGCAAAGAACGGCUUUGCAGAUAAGUUAGGGGGAGGGGAGUUCUAUCAGCCUCUCUAACGUUUCCUGCCCACUUGCAUGUUAAAGGCUGGCUUGAUCAUUAGGUCUGGCAAAUGCCUACAAAGACAAUGCAAUUCAUAGGGGUGGCGUGUAUUUUUUUUAGUAAGAGAAAGGUUUCUGUUCAAAUGUAGUAUCAGUCUUCCCAGGGGAAAUGUCAGGGCGUUUUGCAUCUCUAAUUGCACUGAAAAGCAGUAAAGUUGAAACUUCUGGCAACAAAAUUGGAGGUGGGUGGAAAUAUGAAUCUAUGAUCGAAAGGACUCCCAUAGAUGCAAACAUCAGAGUUUUCCUCUUUCUUUUAUUCUUCAUCAUUCAGUUUACAGUGCUGUAACUGGAGACCAUUUCUAAGGUUCCCUGAAUAUUUUUUUGGGGGGGUGGGGUGAACAGCUUGUCUGAGAAGAAGUUCAGAAGCCAAACGCAUGUAGCUCUCUCUUCAGCCCUUGGGAUCUGAUUCCUAUAGGUUUUGAUUUGAAAAUGCCAUGGGCUUUUUAAUUGGCAAACUGAAACUGUUCACUGCUAAAUGUCACUUUGCUUCCAGUAAACUGAAACUGCUGGUAACAGGUCUUGUUUUGACCAGCUAAUCAAAAUGGUUCAAUGAAAUGUGUCGUUCAAUUGACAAGCUAAAAAAAUACAAAUGGAACCAUGUCACUUUGGUUAACAGGGGUAAGACAGCAACAGGGGCAGGUGAGGCAGGAUAAAUCUGAAAUAGCCCAAGCAUUUAAUUUCAACUUUGAAACCAGAAUACAAGCCUGGUUGAGAUGAACCAGCUCAAGAAUGCCCCAAGGCUUGAGUCUUAUCUUGUCUUGCUAUACCCAGUCUUUUGAAGUAUACAAGCGACAAGGCCUUAACACCUCUGGCAUCCAGAUUAUGGAACAUUCUUCCAGCAGAUAUUUGCCUUUAUUUGCCCAUUUUAAAGCCCAUACUAAAAACUGGUUUAAUUCCAGGUGACAUUCAGCAAUUAGGGCCUGUGCCUGAGGGGUUUUCCAAUGCUGAUUGCUGGUAGCUGCUUUUAUUUUUAGUCUGUUUUCUUAUGGUAAUGUGUACUGUAUUGUAAUAUGCCAGCUUAAGUGUGCUUGCGUACAGGCAAAAGGUCUCUAGAUUUGUAAAUGAAUGAAUGAAUGAAUGAUGCAUUUUCUUGCUAGCCACACUAGGACAGGUAAACGUGCCGACGCUGUUUCCAUCAGCAUGCCACCAAAAUGUAGGGGGGAAACAGAGAACAAGCAUGGGCUUUGAGCCAAGCCAAAAAUAAAUGUCCACAGGGCCAAAGAGAACUGAGUGAGCUAAAUUCAUAAGAAAAUAUUCAUCCUCUGGUAGGAAUGUGGCAGGUAGGAAUCAUAUUUAGAGGCAGGGGACAGUGAGGUCAGAACUGGGCAAGAACAUGGUCAACAACCUCCUAUGCAGCUUGCUGGUGUCAUCAGUGCAUGCUUGCAUGGAAAACUGCUGGCAGCGGUGUGCCUGUAUGGCAGGGAUUGGCAAAGCUUACCGGGCAUGGGCCGGAUCACUCCCGUGGAGAUCCUCUGUGGGCUGGAUUGGCGCAGCGCGACACUGGAAAUCGCUUCUGCGCAUGCCCAGAUGCCGAAAAUCAUGCCUGCGCAGAAGCGACUUUCGGUGUCUGGGCAUGCACAGAAGCGAUUUCCGGCACCGUGGACAUGUGAAGACGCGAUUUCCGGUGUCUGGGCAUGCGCAGAAGUGAUUUCCAGAGCCGCAGAAGAGAGUUCCCAUGCUGCGCCGUGCCAGUUUAGCGCAUCACGGGGGAAUCGCCGAUUGGGUGACUCAGUUCGGGGGCAGAUCAGGGGCUGGUUAAACAGCCUUCGUAGGCCACUUCCAGCCCAUGGGCCUGAGGUUGCCGACCCCUGCUGUAUGGUGCUGACCUCACCACCACCUGCCUCUAGAGCUGCCAUGACUGGGGAAAUAAUAACCUGAGACCCAAAUUUCUUCCCCGUAAUCUAGGUUAUGCAUCUUGCACCAUUCUAAGAAGGAGGGGAAAGGAUACCCUUCGGUUUGAGAAUCAGCUCUUCUUACAGUAUUGUGUCCUCAGCACCCUGGAAAAAGCCCCACACUCAUGUGCAACUCGAUGAAGUUGUGUACAAGUACACGUUAUAAGAGCCAAAUGAUAAAAGUGUAGAAGAGGACAUAGGCCAAAGCCUACAGCAAAUUUAGUACUAUCCAAACACUCGUUAAUGAAGAUUGGAAUGUCACCCAUCUUUUAUUUAAUAAGGCUUUCUGGGAACCAGGAUUCUGCAACAACAGGGUCUCCAAAACCAGAACAAAAGCAUCUAGAUUGGUUGUUAACUAAGAAUAAUGUGCAGCUGUGUAGUUGUCUCUUCAGGGAUGGCUGGGAUUCAGUUCAUGAAAAGACCUCAACAUUUUCUUAAGAGUUGCAGGUUUGUAAGUUAUUUUUGUCUCUUGUUGCCUGUGUAACAGUUGGAAUGUUAAUUUAAUUUUGCAGAAUAUCAUUUAUGUAAAUGUAAUUAGAAGGGAAACAAGAUCGGGAGAUGCACAGCACCAAAGAAAAUUUAUUACUCCAAGGGGUAUUGCUCUAAUCAUUCAACUGCAAUAUUGAGUUUCCCCAGAUUUAAUCUAAAAGCAAUAAAUUACAAAAGGCUAAUGUCCUACUCAACAAAAAGCUGUCAUGAACCCAAGUUUCAGGGAGAGGGAGAGAAAAUCAACUUUAUUUCAGCAACAGGCUCUCUGUCUUCACAUUCCUUUUAUGAUUCAAGUCAAGUUGAACUAAAAUGAAUAUGAAUGUGCAGGCUUCCAACACUUUUCGUGAAUAUGGAUGGAUGGGUAUGAUGACAAUUAUAAUAAUCUACAAUCCAGAAUGUUGGGACUUCUUUAUCUAAAGCCGUAGUAAUACUACAAUCGCACACAGAGGCAACUUUUUAUUUUGAAUGCAUAGUGAUUCCAGGAUCUAUAUGAAAAUAUAUCAGGCUCUGAUUCAUUUCAGGAUCUGUUUGAAAGACUGAAGAUGAUCAACUUGCUGAUUUGUAGAAAGAACGAAAAAUGCCCGCCUUCUAUCUGGUAGCGAGGAAACAAGUAGGACUUCUGUACCAUCACAAGCAAUAGCAUUUUUAAAAACCCAAUAGGAAUCCUUAUUGCUAAACCCCAGUUCAAUGGAGUGCAUGCAGAAUAGCUGGGGUAAAAAGUAUGGAAUGUUGAUAAAUCAACUAGCAGGAAAGGGAAAACUGGUGUCAGGAUCAGUUUGAAAGGAUGGCAGCCCCAAGAUCUUCAAGGGGCUCAUUUCACUUUACCUGAAGCAUGCAAGAUGAGGGAGAGCGUCUUCAGCCUCUGUCUGUUCCAAGUUAAGGCCAACCAGUAAGAGAGGCUUGCUUGAGGACCCCACAAAUUCUGAUCUCUCUCACAUGGUCUGAGAAAUUUCUUGCAGUAUUGUUGAAGGUCCAUAUAGUUAAAGCUAUGGUUUUCCCAGUAGUGAUGUAUGGAAGUGAGAGCUGAACCAUAAAGAAGGCUGAUCGUUGAAGAAUUGAUGCUUUUGAAUUAUGGUGCUGGAGGAGACUCUUGAGAAUCCCAUGGACUGCAAGAAGACCAAACCUAUCCAUUUUGAAGGAAAUCAGCCCUGAGUGCUCACGGGAAGGACAGAUCCUGAAGCUGAGGCUCCAAUACUUUGGCCACCUCAUGAGAAGAGAAGACUCCCUGGAAAAGACCCUGAUGUUGGGAAAGAUUGAAGGCACAAGGAGAAGGGGACGACAGAGGACGAGAUGGUUGGACAGUGUUCUUGAAGCCACAAACAUGAGUCUGAUCAAACUGCGGGAGGCAGUGGAAGACAGGAGUGCCUGGCGUGCUCUGGUCCAGGGGGUCACGAAGAGUCGGACAUGACUAAACAACAAAUUGUUGCACAAUACCAUACAAUUCCAGCACCUCUUUCAGACAAUCAGAAUGCCUGUUUUAGUUCAUUUCGUUUCUUCCAGUAAUUCAGUGUCUCAUUUUCUUUGCCUAGUUAUGCGAUUGAUGCAGAUGAAUUGACCUGUAAUACAGUCCUUUCCAAGCUUUGUUGAACUUUUCCCAAUCAGGAUGCCAUUUUCUAAGGAUUUUUCUUUUCUAGUGAACUAUUUUUAUUAGCACCACAGAAGUCAAAGAUGUUGCAAUAGAUAAAAAACAUGCCCAAGUGGAUGGAUAAGCACUAAAAAAAGUCACUUUUAAAGUUUUUAAGUUUGUGGAUUUGUUGUGCUAGGUAAAAAGCGUGCUUUAAUUAACUGUGCAAACCUAAUUUAAUAUUGGCAUGCACCCUUAAUUGCUGGUUGCCAAUAUUAGCAACUAGGGACGCGGGUGGCGCUGUGGGUAAAACCUCAGCGCCUAGGGCUUGCUGAUCGCAUGGUCGGCGGUUUGAAUCCCCGCGGCGGGGUGAGCUCCCGUCUUUCGGUCCCAGCUCCUGCCCACCUAGCAGUUCGAAAGCACCCCUAAGUGCAAGUAGAUAAAUAGGUAAAGGAAGGGAAGGUAAACGGCGUUUCUGUGUGCUGCGCUGGUGCUGGCUCGCCAGAGCAGCUUCGUCACGCUGGCCACGUGACCCGGAAGUGUCUCCGGACAGCGCUGGCUCCCGGCCUCUAGAGUGAGAUGAGCGCACAACCCUAGAGUCGGACACGACUGGCCCGUACGGGCAGGGGUACCUUUACCUUAAUAUUAACAAAGGAGGGCAAACAAGAUUGGGCAGAUCUAAGAGGGGUUUUUUGUUUGGUCUAUUUGGAAUCCUUUAGGUGACUUGACAAAGAAUGUGACCAUUGUGCCAAGAUAACAGCUUUUGGCUAAAUCAGGCUUCCUCAACCUUGGCCCUCCAGAUGUUUUGAGACUACAAUCCCCAUCAUCCCUGACCACUGGUCCUGCUAGCUAGGGAUCAUGGGAGUUGUAGGCCAAAAACAUCUGGAGGGCUAAGGUUGAGGAAGCCUAGGUUAAAUAAAUAAAAAAAAUUGUCCAGUUGCACCUUAAAAGGUAAAGGGUAAAGGGACCCCUGACCAUUAGGUCCAGUCGUGACCGACUCUGGGGUUGCGGCGCUCAUCUCGCUUUAUUGGCCGAGGGAGCUGGCAUACAGCUUCCGGGUCAUGUGGCCAGCAUGACUAAGCCGCUUCUGGCGAACCAGAGCAGCGCACGGAAACGCCGUUUACCUUCCUGCCUGAGCGGUACCUAUUUAUCUACUUGCACUUUGAUGUGUUUUCGAACCCCAUCACAGGGAUUCGAACCGCCGACCCUCUGAUCAGCAAGACCUAGGCUCUGUGGUUUAACCCACAGCGCCACCUGCAUCCCUAAGUAGCACCUUAGAGACCAACUAAGUUUGUUUCCAGAAUGUCAAGCUAUUUUAAGAAGGUGCCUAUAUUGAAGUUUGGGUAAUAUGUUAUUCAUUUAAUUUUGUUGUUGUUGUUGAGUCAUUUAGUUGUGUCCGACUCUUCGUGACCCCAUGGACCAGAGCACGCCAGGUACUCGUGUCUUCCAGUGCCUCCCUCAGUUUGGUCAAACUCAUGUUGGGAGCCAUUUAAUUAUAGUUAUUUAAUUGAUUGAUCCGUUAAAGGCAUACAAUUCUAAUUAUUUUAUAGGUUAUCCAACAUUUCUCUCUGUGCUCCAUCCAAGUAUGAUAGAG